AUUGAACGCUGGCGGCAGGCCUAACACAUGCAAGUCGAGCGAGCGGCGGACGGGUGAGUAACACGUGGGAACCUACCCAUCAGAGGGGGAUAACACUUGGAAACAGGUGCUAAUACCGCAUAUUGAUGGAUGGACCCGGGGUGCAGUAGCUAGUUGGUGAGGUAAAGGCUCACCUAGGCGACGAUCUCUAGCUGGUCUGAGAGGAUGAUCAGCCACACUGGGACUGAGACACGGCCCAGACUCCUACGUGAGGCAGCAGUGGGGAAUAUUGUACAAUGGGCGCAAGCCUGAUGCAGCCAUGCCGCGUGUAUGAAGAAGGCCUUAGGGUUGUAAAGUACUUUCAGCGGGGAGGCGUUACCCGCAGAAGAAGCACCGGCUAACUCCGUGCCAGCAGCCGCGGUAAUUC
rnacentral:rRNA from 1 species